UCCAUAGGUUAAUGAGGCGAACCGGGGGAACUGAAACAUCUAAGUACCCCGAGGAAAAGAAAUCAACCGAGAUUCCCCCAGUAGCGGCGAGCGAACGGGGAGCAGCCCAGAGCCUGAAUCAGUGUGUGUGUUAGUGGAAGCGUCUGGAAAGGCGCGCGAUACAGGGUGACAGCCCCGUACACAAAAAUGCACAUGCUGUGAGCUCGAUGAGUAGGGCGGGACACGUGGUAUCCUGUCUGAAUAUGGGGGGACCAUCCUCCAAGGCUAAAUACUCCUGACUGACCGAUAGUGAACCAGUACCGUGAGGGAAAGGCGAAAAGAACCCCGGCGAGGGGAGUGAAAAAGAACCUGAAACCGUGUACGUACAAGCAGUGGGAGCCUCUUUAUGGGGUGACUGCGUACCUUUUGUAUAAUGGGUCAGCGACUUAUAUUCUGUAGCAAGGUUAACCGAAUAGGGGAGCCGAAGGGAAACCGAGUCUUAACUGGGCGUUAAGUUGCAGGGUAUAGACCCGAAACCCGGUGAUCUAGCCAUGGGCAGGUUGAAGGUUGGGUAACACUAACUGGAGGACCGAACCGACUAAUGUUGAAAAAUUAGCGGAUGACUUGUGGCUGGGGGUGAAAGGCCAAUCAAACCGGGAGAUAGCUGGUUCUCCCCGAAAGCUAUUUAGGUAGCGCCUCGUGAAUUCAUCUCCGGGGGUAGAGCACUGUUUCGGCAAGGGGGUCAUCCCGACUUACCAACCCGAUGCAAACUGCGAAUACCGGAGAAUGUUAUCACGGGAGACACACGGCGGGUGCUAACGUCCGUCGUGAAGAGGGAAACAACCCAGACCGCCAGCUAAGGUCCCAAAGUCAUGGUUAAGUGGGAAACGAUGUGGGAAGGCCCAGACAGCCAGGAUGUUGGCUUAGAAGCAGCCAUCAUUUAAAGAAAGCGUAAUAGCUCACUGGUCGAGUCGGCCUGCGCGGAAGAUGUAACGGGGCUAAACCAUG
rnacentral:rRNA from 1 species